rnacentral:lncRNA from 1 species
CAAGAGCUGUCAGUGUAUGACUUAACUUUAUUCCUGGUGGGAACUCAACCUGCAUAGAUGCUAUUGCAAUAACAGAUUACCAAGAUUUUUUCUUCAUGUUGGAGAGCUAAUUAGAUUCAAGUAUUUUAGGGAAGCUCUGAGUUUACUAAAGAACACAUAUGCAAAUUAACACUGGGAAGAGGGGAAUGAUAACAAUCUGGAGCUGUGUCUUCAACCCUGUGAUUGACAGACUCAACAGGCACAUCUGGUAAGUAACUUGAUGGCAGAGUCUGCAUACGCACACUGCAAAAAUUGUAACUGUGGUCUGUAGAGGAUAAGGGCUCUUUAGAUCUGACAUUAUAUUUACCAGGCUCACGCUUUUCUAGCAGGAGAGGCCCUUCACCUUCUACUGUAAACAUAAAGAAAUCAGAGGCUCUCAUGCAGUGCUGUUGGCAGAUCACCAUGAACUUGUUUCAGCCAGAGCACACUUCGGCGUCAUGGUCAGUGAAAGUCUGUGAGCUUCAAAGGUUGUUAUUUACAAAUGAUACUUUCCACUGUGCACAGAGCAGUAGCAGGUAUGUAUCCCACUCUCAUGAGUUUCACCUCAACGUGACCUCAGAGAACUCCAAAGAGCUGCUUUGUGUUUACAUGGGUAUAUGAGAGACCCAGGGAAAUAGCCAUGUAUCACCAUUUCUUUCUGUUUUUUUAAAUUCUCUGUGCUUUACAGAAAUUACAUCACUAAUAAUUAGAAGACCUUGUUAAAAUAAUUGUUUUAAAAAUCGUAUACUAACUGGUUGUCCAAAGAAUAUUUUAAUUAGCUUAGAUGAAAGAUGAGAUCUACUUCACAGGUCCUCUGUACUUGCUGUGAGUCGUUGCUCUGUCCAGGGUCUCUGUUUGUAAUGACCUGUUCUACCAGAUGUGCUUUACCUCCUAGUAAUAUAGAUCUUCAUUUGUGGAACAGGGAAAAGAAAAAAUAUUUGAAAGUUUUUUGGAAGUACUAAGUUAGUGAAGGAUUUGAGAAAUUAAACAUUUCCCUAGCCUGCUGUUUUCAGAAUCAGCAUUUUCUAAGCCCUGACAGCAUAAUGGGAUCAUUCCCAUUGCCCUGAUCACUCUCAUUAAGUUCAUUUGCUGCAGUCUUAGAGAAACAAAAUGACUUUGUAAUGAUGGUGCUGGAGGAGGGGGAAAGAGCUGUUCUCAAGACUGUCACAGGAUUCUUGUGUGAUCUUGGUUGAGUCACUUGAUCCUGAGUUAGUUUACCUGUAACAGAAGCCUUUAACUUUUCUCAUCUAGGAAAGCUCUGCAGAAAAGUAAUUGCUUAUUACAUGCCUGAAGUAACAGGGCAACUCUUGACUUGGACUUCUGUGUGUGACACAAAUAAUAUUUUAUGCAGGGAGGCAGGAAACUUGAAUUCUUUCCAUAUCCUUAUGAAAGGUUAUUUAAUGUCUCAGCUCCUCAGUUCAAUGCACUUCUGAAUUAAGCAGUGUUAACCUCACUUAUGGAAGGUACUUGCUGUUAGAAGAUCAGAAGUAGGCAGCAAUCUGUAGCAUCAAGAGCUAGCGAAAGAGAGAGACUUAAUUUGGAACCAAGCUGCUCUGAUUCCAUUUCAUUUAAUCUGUCCUGCCCAAACAUCCUCCAAGCUCUGCUUUGCAGCAAUGUCCUUGUUGAUUAGUGACAGGAAUUUAGUAGAAAGUGGCCGUCAUGCCAGAAAGACUCGGGGGCACUGAAUCUGGAAUGAGCCACACUUAUUUAAAUCUAGCUAAUGUAGUAACAUCUUGAAGCAGCCUAGGGCAGAAAAGUUUCCUCUAAACAGAGGUUUCUAGCCCACAAUUCCUUGAAUAUUUUUUUGUGAGUAAAUGAUCCUGUGGCAUGUGCUCUAAUUAAAAUCAUAUCAGGGCUGUUCUAUAUUACCCAGCACAAUCUCUGGAGUUUGCUUCUUCACCUUCCUCCGCCUCGCUUGCCGAGCCCUCCUUGUUUACAUUCCAGCCGCACAGACUAUCAAUGCAGCGAACCCAUCUAAAAUGAACCACAUGAAUGACAUGAGGAAUGCCUGAAAGAAUGAAGUUGUUGUACUGCAAACUGUGUGAUAUAUUAUAGCACAAAGAUGGUCUGGCAAAGGAAGUCAUUUGUACAGCAGUCCUUUAGGUACCAUGAAGGAUGGAAACAGAGGAUAUUAAAUGAUGACUUCUGAAAUUCUAAUCACAAGCCAUGCUUUCCUUUUGAGUGAUGCCAUAGUCAUGACAAGAGGGCUAGUUAUAAAGCUGUAGGGUUGACACAGGAUCUCUAUAUUUACAUCCUUUUGUCUCAACCAGCAAUGAGAGAACUCUAAAUCUUGUAGAGUUAUCUAGUUAGAGAAGAUAAAGAUAACACAAAUCAGUAAUUUCACUGGAGAUCUAAUUAUUUUCAUGGUGAAAUAUAGAAAGCUUUGCUUCUCUAAUGGGGGGCAGGGUGAACAACUUGGAGACCAUCUACUUGCUUAUAGUACCAACCCUCCUUUCAGCACUUUCCAGAAAUUCCCAUUAUGUUUUUGAUUAUGCCCCAGUACAGUAAAGCUAUACUGUGCCUUUAUCUUUCUCUCUCCUUGUUCUCUUUUUGUAUGGAGAAAUUGUUCUGUCCCUCCCAUGAGGGAGAAAAGAAAAAGAAAAAGGAAAAAAAAAAGGCUAUGUAAGCACAAAUAGUCUUCUACUACUACUUUUUACUGUCUUCAUCUUGUAGCUUUGCUGAUAUAAAAAUAUAAUUAGAAAUGUAGUUACUCUCCAGAACUACUGAAAAGCAGAAAAGGAGUUUCAGGGCUCACAUUCAUUUGGGUUAAUGACAAAGAUAAAACAAGGAAGACAUAAAUUGUGCUUUGAUCAAGCACUUAUGGAGGCUCAGUUGCAGAUGCUUGGAAUCCUGAAAAUUUUAGAGCAGUAGAAACUUUAGUAAUUGCAGCAUGGCAAUGGAGUGCUUGUUUUGUGACUAUCUAUGACCAUCACAGUAUCCUUUGAAGACUGCAGUCAAUAAUGGCUUCUUCAGUGCCAAUAGGUUGUUUUGUGCCAGGAAAUGCAGGUUGCCAGAAGCAAGUGGUUAAUUGCUAUUACAUACAUAAUAUUCAAAGUGAAUCUUGUGAUCCGCCCUAUACCAGUGACAACAUGCAUAAAAGUGAAAAAUCAUCUCUAGAUGUCAUAAAAAUACAGAGAUGGGUGAGGGAAUAGCAAUAUCAGGACAUUUGGAGAACAUGUCUAUUGUAGCAACACAAUGAAGUUAAACUUGAGAAAACAUAUGAGUAUGAAUUGUCAAAGAGAGGCUGGGAGCAUGUUAAGAAGCAGUCCUGUUUGAUGGAAGGAUUUACUACUUGUAGCUGUGGUUGAAAAUUUUGCUUUCAUGUUUUUGCUUCUUGCUAAUAGCCAUGUUUUCUCCAAGAUGACUGAGUUUGCUCUCAAAGUUAGAUGCUGCAGGAAAAAUAAAAGCAUUUAACAACACUUCUAGAAGAUUUAU